GCCCUUCACCAGCAGGACUGCCCACCGGAGUAAGAGCGGGCCGGAUGCUGAUAAAGUCUUGUGGACUGUUGAGGGAACUGCUUCCUAGAGAAAAAUCCAGAUUUCCUCUCCCCAGUUUCCCAGGAUGUGGUAAGCCCAGCCUCCUGGGAUGGCAGGGCAGGCUUCCAGAAACUUCCAACCCAACCGCACAAAAACCAAGAGACUGGAGUAAAACCCAACCCCCAAGGAAUUCUGAGGAUUCUCUGAAAACUGAAGAGGAAGUGGUGCCCACGCUAAUGUGCUCAGAGGCCCUUUUCUCUUGGCUCUUCUACCGCCACCAGAUCACCCCCAUGGAGCUACUUUUGGAUGUGUUUGCUGAGUAUGACUGACUCACCUGGUAACUCACAAAUUUCUUGAAACCUACAAGAACGACUGAGCCUCUUGUGGUCAGGUGGAUGGGAAAAUCAACACAGAAA
rnacentral:lncRNA from 1 species